GUCAACUCAAUGUCUUUUUUCUGGUUACGUAAUUCUGUGUUAGGUUAUAAUUUUACAAACAUUUUAUCUAUUUUCUUAUAUUUUACAGGGUAAGAUACCGAACUCAAUGUUUUCUGUUUGGUAAUCAUGUUAGAUUUCAUACCAUUUAUCAUUGUUGCUUAGCAACUUAUUAUUACAUCAUUACAAGAUUACAAAAAAAAAAAAAAACAUUACGCAAAGAAGAAACAGAGGAAGAAAAGGAGAAAUAAGUUUGCAGGAGAGAAACAGAGUUUACAGAGCUCAAUGUUAUUCCUAAUUGAUAAUAAUCAAUGUCAUAUGGUCCGUGAAAGCUAUGAUUAGUUAUUUCCUAGCUUGUGAGAUAAGAGGAAGACUAAAACUUUUAAUUAGGUUCAUCCCCUCUGCUUAUGAUAUAGCUAAUCACCGACUCAUAAUGAAAACAAAUUAGAAGAAUACUUAAAGCGAUAAUACAUAAUCAUUUAGGGAAAUUGAAAAUUUCUAUUUAAAAUAUAACAAAAAAAAAGCAGAGUGACGGAGACGUUCCGUAGGUACAGACAGCUAAGCGCAGUGUUUCCUUUCCCUCUUUUUUGUUCGUGCGUAAACCCUCUGAGU
rnacentral:lncRNA from 1 species